UGGAUCUGCGACGGCGAGAGCAGGUGCACGUGCGAGUCGAUCCCGCCCGCGGUGAGGAUCCGCCCCUCCCCCGAGAUCACGUCGGUCGACGGGCCGAUCACGAGGUCCGGAUGGACGCCGUCGGCGAUGUCCGGGUUGCCCGAACGGCCCAGGGCGACGAUCCGGCCGUCGCGGAGGCCGACGUCGGCGCGCACGACGCCCCACCAGUCGAGCACGAUCGCGUUGGUGAUCACGGUGUCCAGCGCGCCUUCGGCCCGGGUGGCGGUGGACUGCGCCAUG
rnacentral:sRNA from 1 species